UGACAAAGCCUCUGGCCCCUUGUCUUUGCUUCUGCCGUCCUCUCGUGACUCCCCGCAGACACGAGCCAGUGACUAAGAAUAAAGUGGAAAAUGUCACAUUCCUCGUCUCUUACAUACUAUUUUCCUAUAAAUCAGUGCCCAGUAGUCGUAGAUGAGAAGAGAGGGGAAGAGCCAUGGCUAGGACUAGCAGCAAGGUUUUGGCGCAGGUAGUGGUGGUGAUGGUGCUGAUUGCAAUGGUGGGAGGGGCCUCGGCUGCUACCAUAUGCAACAUAGACACCUCCAAGCUGGCUGAAUGCCUACCAGCAGUGAGCGGGCGUUCACCUCCACCACCUACCAAGGCUUGUUGCACUGCCUUGCUCAGCGCCGACCUUCAUUGUUUGUGCAACUACAAAUCUGCCCUUCCUGCAUUUGGAAUCAACCCAGCACUUGCAAUGGCCCUGCCAAAAAAAUGCGGCGGUUCCCUCCCACCAAAUUGCAAGGGUAACAAGUUCAAACUUCAUUUUUCAUCUUCCUUGUGACGUUCUUUCAUCCAUCACAUAACAGCUUUUUUGACAUGAGUGCCUAUGCCUAGUUGUUAAGUUGCCGAUCACUUGGUGUUGUUAUCUAAUAAACUAUUUCAUGUUGUUUCAGUG
rnacentral:lncRNA from 1 species